rnacentral:lncRNA from 1 species
CAAAAACAUAAAAACCAUAAAAAAAUACCAAAACAAAAGAAUCGGCUCGGCUAUGGCAUUGACUCAGCUCCAAACAUAGAAGAUAGCUCCAAAGGCAUGGCUCAGCUAACUGGCAGCUCGGCUCUACGGCAGCAUAAAAAAGAUGGAUCCCGAGUCAAAGCACUUUCGAUUGGGUUGGAUAUUUGGGGCAGCAUGCAAAUCUGGAAAGCUUUAUGAUCAAAACAAUGUUGUUUCUUUAUAAUAUAAAAGCCAAAAAGAACCUUAUUCUUUGGAUUUCCUUUUUCCUUUUCUCUCUCUUCAAAACUUUUUUUAUCUCUCUCUAAAAUUGGUAGGAACACCAAUUGAAUAUCUCGUCACAUUUUGAAAACUUAGGCCAAAAUCUGGGUUGAAUCACCAAAAAGUCAUCAAUUUCUAAAUCGAAAACUAAAGAUGAUACCAAAAAACCAGAAAUCUCACCAAAAAAUCAUUAAAAAUUUUAAUAUUUGUAGCUUCAAAUUAAAUUUGAUAAUUUUUAAAAAAAUCCAAAAUUUUGUAAAAAUUCUUCACAGAUCACCAAUUUAGCCCCCAAUUUUUUGUAAUCCUCAUAAAAACCAAAUCAAGCUUUUUCAAAACAAAAAAAAAAAAAAAAAAAUCCGCUAGGAGCUUUUCUUUAGAAUAUUGGACUUGAUUGCUCCCUAUACUUGCUACUGACUUUCUCUAUUUUUGCCAAUGAUUUUUUUUUUUUUUGUGUUCUUUUUGUGUGUUGCUUAUGUUGUUUUAUAGGAAAGAGUCCAAAUCCAAGUAGUAUUCCAUUAGGAUUAGAUUCUUCAAUAAAAAAAAUCCAAUUUAUCAUCAUAUUAAAAUUUUUAUUAUAUAUCUUUAAAAAAAUUUUAUGAACAUUCAUCACUUAAAAGCUUUAGUUCAAUCCAAUCUCAAUUAACCAAUCAAAUCUCAGCCCUUUGAUUUUAUCCCUUUUUUUGUUUUUUUUUUAAUGAUUUUUCUAAAAAAUCUAAUCGGAUAACCUAAAAACCAAAGAUUAAUUAAUCAAAUAAAAUAAAACAACUAAUAACAAAUAAUUAACACUAAAUAUAUUCUAAUGAAUAAGGAUAAAAACCUAAUAAAAAUUUAAAC